CACGUAGGCGGACCGGAAAGUUGGAGGUGAAAUCCCAGGGCUCAACCUUGGAACUGCCUUCAAAACUAUCGGUCUGGAGUUCGAGAGAGGUGAGUGGAAUUCCGAGUGUAGAGGUGAAAUUCGUAGAUAUUCGGAGGAACACCAGUGGCGAAGGCGGCUCACUGGCUCGAUACUGACGCUGAGGCGCGAAAGUGUGGGGAGCAAACA
rnacentral:rRNA from 1 species